GACGAACGCUGGCGGCGUGCUUAAUACAUGCAAGUCAUAGGGGCUAAUUUCCUUCGGGAGAUUGGUCACUGGCGCACGGGUGCGUAACGCGUAAGUUAUCUGCCCUUGGGUCUGGCAUAACGUCGGGAAACCGGCGCUAAUUCCAGAUGAUAUCGUAAGAUCAAAGCCUUCGGGCGCCCAAGGAUGAGCUUGCGUCUGAUUAGCUAGUUGGUGAGGUAACGGCUCACCAAGGCGACGAUCAGUAGCCGGCCUGAGAGGGUGAACGGCCACACUGGAACUGAGACACGGUCCAGACUCCUACGGGAGGCAGCAGUGGGGAAUAUUGCACAAUGGGGGAAACCCUGAUGCAGCGACGCCGCGUGAGCGAAGAAGG
rnacentral:rRNA from 1 species